rnacentral:misc_RNA from 1 species
AGAAAGUGCUCUCUGGGAUGCUAGAGAGCACAGGGUGUAAACCUGAUGUUUGGACAAUGAACAUCAUCCUCAAUGUGUUUGGUAACAAGGGUCAGAUUGAUUCGAUGGAGAGAUGGUAUGAGAAGUUCCGCAAUUUUGGAAUUGAACCAGAAACUCGCACUUUCAAUAUUUUGAUUGGUGCUUAUGGAAAGAAACGGAUGUAUGAUAAGAUGUCAUUGGUAAUGGAGUACAUGCGCAAGCUUCAGUUUCCUUGGAC